rnacentral:rRNA from 1 species
UUGCAUAUCCAAAAAGCGGAGGAAAAGAAACUAACAAGGAUUCCCCUAGUAGCGGCGAGCGAAGCGGGAAGAGCUCAAAUUUAUAAUCUGGCACCUUCGGUGUCCGAGUUGUAAUCUCUAGAAAUGUUUUCCGCGUUGGACCGCACACAAGUCUGUUGGAAUACAGCGGCAUAGUGGUGAGACCCCCGUAUAUGGUGCGGACGCCCAGCGCUUUGUGAUACAUUUUCGAAGAGUCGAGUUGUUUGGGAAUGCAGCUCAAAUUGGGUGGUAAAUUCCAUCUAAAGCUAAAUAUUGGCGAGAGACCGAUAGCGAACAAGUACCGUGAGGGAAAGAUGAAAAGCACUUUGGAAAGAGAGUUAACAGUACGUGAAAUUGUUGGAAGGGAAACGCUUGAAGUCAGACUUGCUUGCCGAGCAAUCGGUUUGCAGGCCAGCAUCAGUUUUCCGGGAUGGAUAAUGGUAGAGAGAAGGUAGCAGUUUCGGCUGUGUUAUAGCUCUCUGCUGGAUACAUCUUGGGGGACUGAGGAACGCAGUGUGCCUUUGGCGGGGGUUUCGACCUCUUCACACUUAGGAUGCUGGUGGAAUGGCUUUAAACGACCCGUCUUGAACCACACGGGACACA